AAAUUGAAGAGUUUGAUCAUGGCUCAGAUUGAACGCUGGCGGCAGGCCUAACACAUGCAAGUCGAACGGUAACAGGAAACAGCUUGCUGUUUCGCUGACGAGUGGCGGACGGGUGAGUAAUGUCUGGGAAACUGCCUGAUGGGGGGGGAUAACUACUGGAAACGGUAGCUAAUACCGCAUAACGUCGCAAGACCAAAGAGGGGGACCUUCGGGCCUCUUGCCAUCGGAUGUGCCCAGAUGGGAUUAGCUUGUUGGUGGGGUAACGGCUCACCAAGGCGACGAUCCCUAGCUGGUCUGAGAGGAUGACCAGCCACACUGGAACUGAGACACGGUCCAGACUCCUACGGGAGGCAGCAGUGGGGAAUAUUGCACAAUGGGCGCAAGCCUGAUGCAGCCAUGCCGCGUGUAUGAAGAAGGCCUUCGGGUUGUAAAGUACUUUCAGCGGGGAGGAAGGGAGUAAAGUUAAUACCUUUACUCAUUGACGUUACCCGCAGAAGAAGCACCGGCUAACUCCGUGCCAGCAGCCGCGGUAAUACGGAGGGUGCAAGCGUUAAUCGGAAUUACUGGGCGUAAAGCGCACGCAGGCGGUUUGUUAAGUCAGAUGUGAAAUCCCCGGGCUCAACCUGGGAACUGCAUCUGAUACUGGCAAGCUUGAGUCUCGUAGAGGGGGGUAGAAUUCCAGGUGUAGCGGUGAAAUGCGUAGAGAUCUGGAGGAAUACCGGUGGCGAAGGCGGCCCCCUGGACGAAGACUGACGCUCAGGUGCGAAAGCGUGGGGAGCAAACAGGAUUAGAUACCCUGGUAGUCCACGCCGUAAACGAUGUCGACUUGGAGGUUGUGCCCUUGAGGCGUGGCUUCCGGAGCUAACGCGUUAAGUCGACCGCCUGGGGAGUACGGCCGCAAGGUUAAAACUCAAAUGAAUUGACGGGGGCCCGCACAAGCGGUGGAGCAUGUGGUUUAAUUCGAUGCAACGCGAAGAACCUUACCUGGUCUUGACAUCCACGGAAGUUUUCAGAGAUGAGAAUGUGCCUUCGGGAACCGUGAGACAGGUGCUGCAUGGCUGUCGUCAGCUCGUGUUGUGAAAUGUUGGGUUAAGUCCCGCAACGAGCGCAACCCUUAUCCUUUGUUGCCAGCGGUCCGGCCGGGAACUCAAAGGAGACUGCCAGUGAUAAACUGGAGGAAGGUGGGGAUGACGUCAAGUCAUCAUGGCCCUUACGACCAGGGCUACACACGUGCUACAAUGGCGCAUACAAAGAGAAGCGACCUCGCGAGAGCAAGCGGACCUCAUAAAGUGCGUCGUAGUCCGGAUUGGAGUCUGCAACUCGACUCCAUGAAGUCGGAAUCGCUAGUAAUCGUGGAUCAGAAUGCCACGGUGAAUACGUUCCCGGGCCUUGUACACACCGCCCGUCACACCAUGGGAGUGGGUUGCAAAAGAAGUAGGUAGCUUAACCUUCGGGAGGGCGCUUACCACUUUGUGAUUCAUGACUGGGGUGAAGUCGUAACAAGGUAACCGUAGGGGAACCUGCGGUUGGAUCACCUCCUUA
rnacentral:rRNA from 4 species